CAGAGAGCAGGGGUGGGUGUGGGUGUGUGUGUGAGGUCAGAGAGUGGGGGUAGGUGUGGGUGUGUGAGGUCAGCACACUGGGCUCUGUUGUGCACUGGUCCAGUCCAGUGUGCUGCUGUCUCUCUGGAGUCCUAAACCCCACAAGCAGCCCCCCUCCCGAGCCUUGGCAGGCCUACUGUCUGGACAGAGCAGGAACUUCAAGAGCCAAUGGGAAGAGAGCAUCAUCAUCCUGUCAGUCCAGCGUCACCCCAGCAACAGGCCCCGCCCAGGCGUGACGUGCAGCAGCCGAGUCUGCGCCCCGACAGCCUGCUGCCCUCCAGGAGCAUGUUUACACUGCAAAGAAAGGACACAGCAAAUGGCCCAGCCUGCAGCAGCAGCCCUCAGUUGGCCUGACGUGCUCUAGGCUCCCAGACUGGACUGGGUCUGUUUGUACAGGAAUUCUGGGAGAAGAGGUAGGGCACAGGGGUUCUCCCAGCCCCUCUUUCAAGAAAGACCUUCUCCACCCUGCAAACAGAACAGCAAUCGAGACACAAGCUGCUCGCUGCGAUAACGAGUGCUUGAAACACCACUAGAACACCAGGUAUUUCGCAUAAGGACUGGCACUAGGGCCCCUCAAGACUCACUUUGUGCGACUCCAGUUUGCAUCUACUGAUUUAAAAAAAAUGCACGUAGGGGAUAAUACAUUUUCCCUCUGAAGUCAUGGCAGCUCCCCCCUGUGGGAGCUCUGUGUCACCGCAGCAAGCAUCUAUCAGUCCACAGCUGUGCACAUUACAGGUCUGUUUUUCCACUGCAGCAACAAAAUAGACAUCGAAAUCUACAAGGUCACAGGAGAAUGGGCACUGACUGGAGGAGUGGGGUGUCUCACUGACAGACUGGGGGCUCAGUGGGCGCAGACUGGAGGAGUGGGGUGUCUCACUGAACGACUGUGGACCCUGAGUGGAAGAGUCGGGUGUCUCACUGAAUGACUGUAGAUGCUGACUGGACGAGUGGGGUGUCUCACUGGCCAGGGGUGUUCCUCGGGCUGUAGCACUCUGAACUGAAAGAGGUCAGCUCAAGUUCAUCCAAACUCGGGACCUCUUGGCCAGCUGUGUAGUACUACAUGGGAAUCCCAGCAACCUCUGUGCUAUAGCAGCUCAACCCCACAGUGCCUUUAGCAGCUG